rnacentral:rRNA from 1 species
GAUGAACGCUGGCGGCGUGCCUAAUACAUGCAAGUCGAGCGAACAGACGAGGAGCUUGCUCCUCUGACGUUAGCGGCGGACGGGUGAGUCACACGUGGAUAACCUACCUAUAAGACUGGGAUAACUUCGGGAAACCGGAUCUAAUACCGGAUAAUAUAUUGAACCGCAUGGUUCAAUAGUGAAAGACGGUUUUGCUGUCACUUAUAGAUGGAUCCGCGCCGCAUUAGCUAGUUGGUAAGGUAACGGCUUACCAAGGCGAGGAUGCGUAGCCGACCCGAGAGGGUGAUCGGACACAUGGGAACUGAGACACGUCCCAGACUCCUACGGGGAGCAGCAGUAGGGAAUCUUCCGCAAUGGGCGAAUGCCUGACGGAGCAACGUCGCGUGAGUGAUGAAGGUCUUCGGAUCGUAAAACUCUGUUAUUAGGGAAGAACAAAUGUGUAAGUAACUGGGCACGUAUUGACGGUACCUAAUCAGAAAGCCACGGCUAACUACGUG